AUACCCCUUUUUUCCGGAUCGCAGGUCAGCGACGGGCGGUCGAGCGGCGAUUGCAGGUCGGCGGCGCGCGGCCGCCGGCUUGGGCUUCCUCGGCGCGUCGGGCGGCAGGCGGCGGGGUCCCUCCAGCUUCCUCCGACGGCGGGCGACAAUGACGCCCUGUUUCAGCGGCGUGCGACGGGCUCGACGGGGCCAUCCAUUGCCUGGAUCCGGCGGCGGCGGCCGUCCCUCGCCCGGCCCCGCACAGAUCCACUAGCGGUUGCGGGAGGAGAGCCCAGGGGUAGACUCGGCGAUGGCUGGCGGACAACGGUCGUGCACCGCGUGGAAAGCGGCUCAGGUGAAAUUCAAGGAGGCGACAGGCUUGACGCGAUGGGCAGCAUUGCACUAAGGGCUACCGCGCCGAGCAUGUCGUCUGGAGGCCAUGUCGCUGACCCGAGUCCGGAAGGUUUUAUUGCUGGCCUCUUUGGUGAUUCAAGCUCUGCAUAUCGCCUGACGGUCAGGUCGGCGGAGGCAGGUGCCUUCCACCUGGUGCACGUUCGUGGGAACCACCUGAGAACAUCAUCAACAGUCUUCCUUUUGAAUGUCGACAUUGUUCUAUCGCCAGAAUCAAUUGUUUUUCUUCUGAGUAAUUUUUUUACUUCUAGAUUAACUGUGUAACAUUUUACUGGUGGAUCAUAUGAUCCACUGUAAAGGCUCCUUGUAGUUUUCAGACUCACAAAGUCAAAUGAUCCGGUGAGAUUUUUUAUUAUAUAAUGUAAUAAUAUGCAU
rnacentral:lncRNA from 1 species